GCCGUAUAUCUUUGCCUCUUUUGAGGGAUCACGCGAGGUUUUCAGAGGAAGAAAGAAGACCGAGAUACCACCACGGGGAUGUAUCGUGCUGCCGGUGAAAAAUAGAAAGGCUCUCGUGUCGUUA